rnacentral:rRNA from 1 species
UACGUAGGGGGCAAGCGUUGUCCGGAAUCAUUGGGCGUAAAGCGCGUGUAGGCGGCUCGAUAAGUCUGCUGUGAAAGUCCAAGGCUCAACCUUGGGAUGCCGGUGGAUACUGUCGAGCUCGAGUCCGGAAGAGGAGUGUGGAAUUCCUGGUGUAGCGGUGAAAUGCGCAGAUAUCAGGAGGAACACCAAUGGCGAAGGCAGCACCCUGGGACGUGACUGACGCUGAGACGCGAAAGCGUGGGGAGCAAACAGG